UAUGUCUCUCUGUUCCUUAAAUUGUUCCAUUUGGCACAUAGUUCGCCAUAAUUCUUGAGAACACAUUACGGUUUCUUGUGACGCCAUCAAUCUUCUUUUAAUUUUGGUCAUUUAUUGCCCUCUUGCUCUUGGUUCAAAUUUUCUUCCUGGUCCUCACUUCUUUUCCUUCAUCAUCUCAGAUUUGUGGUUAAGCUGUCUUUGUUUCUUGACCCUCAGUGAUUAGUGCAUUCAGAUGGGUAUCUCUAAUGAUUCACUUACAUGCUGCUGAAGGGAUCUGUUACAUGGGGCAGGUUUCAUACGUCACCCUUUAAAGCUUUAUCAUUCAGUGGCCCUGCUUUUGCUCACACGACAUUAUAUUCUCCCCUUAAGUCUUGCAUGAUUUUCUUACUAACUUUCUUCUACACAGGUUAUUAUAAAUAACAGUGUCCUUUAUGUCAACUGCUUGAUUCAGCUGCAUUUUCAUAGCGAGUCAGGUUGGAUAAAUAACGUCAAGCUACAAUGCUUCUGGGCUCUUCCAUGCAGCAAUCACACUGGAAGCUUAUUCUUUCUACAUCUUGCCAAGUCUCAGUGCCGUAUCCUGAUUUCAAGUGAAGUGUAAAGGACCAAGCAAAGACAUUCCUUGGGACAUGUCUGGCUUGGUUGCUGCAUCUUGUUAAGAGGAUUCAGACUCCCCGAAUCAUGCAUUAACAUAAGAAUUGCUUUUCUCCACAUUAUCAUUAGAUAAAUGGCAUAAGGCAAAAAUAGACUAUCAGAUAUGGCUGCAGGAAAAUAAUUUGAAUCAUCCUGAGAUUGGAGGCUAUUUAAUGGCUGCUUUUGCCUGGAACAUUAACAUUGGCAGCUUAUUUGAGGUCUGUAGCUUGUGCAUCUGCCUGUUCCAUAAUGCUCGGGGGGGCCUUAGAGUUUUAAGUAGUCAGUCACUGCACUCUAGAACAUAUUGGACUUUGGCCAUGAACUGCAACUCCUGGGCAGGGGCGUACAAAGUGGGGGGCGGAGGGGGUGGGCGCCCCGGGUGCCACUCUGGGGGGGUGCCAAGAUGGCCCCUGCCUCCCUCCAGCUGCAGAGUGGCCGAUGGUGCGCGCAUUCCAUGCUUGAAUGCAUACUGAGGGACAAAAUGAACUGCAUCUGCUAUUGCAGCUGAUCAGUUGAUGUAGGUAGUUCCAUAGUUCUGUACUUCCCCCUCUGCCACCCCAUUUCUAGACAUAUUAGCCACUGUUUGCAAAACCUUCAAGUAACCAAAAGUGGAAUUUCCUUUUUAUGCUCAACAAAGAGGGCUGUGAAAUCAUUGGAAGGGCUGUUUUGCCUUACCCUUAUCUUAAUUAAAAGACAUGGAGGCAUGCAGAUAUAUAGUAUGUGAGUAUGCAUUUAUCUUCCAGUUACUUAUUUUCUUAUUAUAUUUGUGUUCCAUAAAGCUCAGCACAGUGUCUAGGGCAGCCUUACAACACCUCUGUAAAGUAAUUUAGGUUGGGAAUAGUGGUUUGUAAAAGUACCUUACCUCUGUUCCUUCCACAUUAAAACCUCCAGUUGUAGCCAACACACCAUUGUGAUUGUUUUGUUUGUGCACUAGAGUUCACACACAUAUACAUGUGCUGCUUUAAAGUUAUGUCCUAACAUAACUUUGGUUAUAGAGAAGGAGAACAUUAUGGCAGAUGCUAUCAGAACUCACUCACAGGAGUUCCUAGCCUUUGUCAUCAUGAGCUGCCUGAAAAUAUUGUUUGAGUCCUGAAGGUGCAGCUAAGCAAUACGAGACAGAUGGCCCAGCUGGCAGUGCUUGUUCCUGUCCUAGGUCCAGAGCCAAACAGUUCAAUGUAACUGUGAGAAAGGAAGGCCACGUAGCGGUCUGUAACCUGCAAAGUCCACUAAGGGAGAGCAAAAGCCUGGACACUUAAGAGGCAGCUACUUCGUUGGCCUUCAGCUUUUCCAUUAAACAGUUCUCCAAACAAUACACAACAGAUCUUGAGUCACUGUUCUUGGGUGCUAUGCUGGCUUUUUAUUAUUAUUAAUUCCUUUCCAUUUUUUGUGCAUGAGCAAACUCAAGAAAACAUAAAGCUGUAAGAAUCUAUGUGGAACAGGUGAAGCCUCAAUAUUAUUUGUUUAGGAGGGCAUCAGCUGUAAUCUCUUCAUGCUGAUUUAUAAAGCCUUGAAUGGCAUUCCACAAUUGUGUUGAUCUGAUUUGAUAACUUCCAACUGGUGUGUCUUAAUGGGCCUAUCUGCAGGACUGGAUUCACUCUGCCACUCCUGGAGCCUUUUGCCAUUCUUCUUCUACCUUGUGGGAUUCUAUUGCCAAGGUGAUAAGCACGAUCAUGCUGUUGAAGCUUUAAAAAAGAAACUGAAGCAUUUGGGUUCUCUGUGUUUCCCGCCCGCUUGACACUAGCAGUCACGCUUUCUCAGCUUCUGUUCUGUUACCACUGGUGUGACAUGAAACAGCUAUUACACCAAAUGCUUUCUAGCAGCUUUUAAUAGAUUGCAAUAGUGAUUCUUACAACACAUGCCUAUGCAUGCUUACUCUGAAGUAAAUCCCACUGUGUUCAGUGGGGGCUUGCUUCCAGGUAAGUGUCCAUAUAAUUACAUCCCCAUGCUCCCCCCCCCCGCACCAUAUGCUAAGAAUACAUGUUCUUCUAAGUGAUACUUUUGCACUACCUCCAGUCCAGUGUUGUUAGCAAUGAUAUCCAGUUCCUCUUCUCUCACUCAAAGGCUGGAAUUGCCCCUUUAAAAUCCAGCUUGCCAUUUGCAGUAUUUGUAUUUAAAAUAAUAUAUUUUCAAAGAUCUGCUGGUGGAUUAAUGGGUGGGGCACCUUUCAAUAGGAAGGUUUUGAAUCAACCUUGUAACUUUUUACUUUGCAGCUCUUUUAGUACUAAGCAAAAACAUCUCUAUUUCAGUUUUCCCAAAUAGGAGUGCAUAGCAAGCUAUUUUAUUUCUGACAAAUUGUAAAAUGACAAAGUUGCAUUAUGGUGCUUUGUUUACAAAUAUAUGCCUGAUAGCAGAUGAUUGCUUUGUGGAUUGGUGCCAAAAAGAACCCCAUUUUAAAGGUAAGGAAAAAACACGUGGCUGCUUUUUUACCAUGAUUUUUUGUUUUUUAAAAUCCUAGCUGUAUGAACUGAGAAGGAGCAGCAGUUGCUUAGAACUCUGAUUAUUUAUGAUGGGAGGAUCCACUUAACUCCUUUUCUCUGGAGCUUCUGAGCAAGGGUGUGAAAUUGUGCUGCUGCAGAAAAAGAUGUAGCCUGGGGCUGGUUGGCUUGUUGAGCUCAUGCAGAUGGGAGUGUCAUAUUACUAACAUUGCAGGGGCAUGUACUGAGCUGUCAUCUGUAAAGAACGGCAGGGAAAAAAGCAGAGACUUAUCUUGUUUUUAGUACAACAUCCUGCUGCUAGAUGUGUUGCCCGGUUGUUGUUGAAGUAAAAAACCAAAGAUACAUAGCUUCAGGGAUGGGAGAGAACCAAGGUGAAAUAUAUAUGUCUUCUCUCUCUCUCUCUCUUUUAAAGCUGGCAACGUUACCUUCUACUUUUCUUCUUGAUAGCUUAACGCAAUCUUGUCCCACUUGGGAAACAACUGUGUCUGUGCCUGCCAAAUGGUGCCACCAAUAAAAAGGUUACAUUUUUGUUUCUCAUGAAUGUAGUGUACAGUGUUUCAGAUAAUGCAAGAAAAUGUCCCAGGAUAAUUUCCAAUUCAACACUUUGCGACGCUUUGUUUUUUAAAACCUGUGAGCUAGGUGUCACUUCGAAGGGCAAAAGGCAUUAUUUGGUUAUAGGAAUUCACCUUUUCCUUUUUUUAAAAAAUGCUAUUUUGGCACCCUCAUAUAUCCAAGACUUAUGCAGGCAUAGCGGGUGCAAGGCAUGCAGCCUGUGAUCAUCCACAACAUCACCAUGCUGCAGGAUCCAUGAAUGCUGGCUUACUGUAUGUUCCUAGUCAGCCAUCAUCUGUGGUCAUCACCAGCUUGCUCGCUUGCAUCCUCUGUUAUGCACAGGAGGCUUGGGAGAGACUCAGGGUCAUACCUCAUUUGUGCAAGAUACAGAGAAGAAACAGUGGGGGUCUUUUGCUGCUUCAAAAGAAUUCCUGCUAUUUCUUACCUACUUGAAAAAUGUGGGAAUGGGGGUUUUGCAGAGCAGCAGUCUGUGUGCUGCCAGGUAUCCUGCUUGCCAGAGCACUGGAAGCAUUUUGCAGCUUGGCCAGAAGCGUCAUGGAUGCCUGGCCAGGCUGCUUCCACAAGGCAGCUCAUUUGCAGGCUGGCUUUUUAAAAGAAGCUUUUCUUUCUGGGAAAAGACCUUGGUGAGCAGAAUACAAUGUUGUCUUCCCUUGACUUAAAGAUAAAAGAAGAAGAGAACUCUCAAUUUUCCUGAGUCAUUACUUUAUCUUCACUUGCCAGCUCUUCUUUUGCAGAGAGAUGGGCUGGAACUGCUUAUCCAAAUUUAACUUUUACACAUUGGGUAGCAAUGACUGCAGGCUUCUAAAUGAAGGCAAGACUCCAACUAGUCUAGAUGAUGCUAAAACUAGCCAGCUGGCCACAGUGUUCAUAGGAACAUAGAGAGCUGCUUCAUUCCAAAUCAGACCAUUGGCCCAUCUAGCUCAGCGUUGUUUACACUGACUGGCAGUGGUUCUCCAAGGUUUUGGCAGAAGUAUUUCUACAUCUCCAGCCUUACCUGGAGAUGCCAGGGAUUGAGCCAGGGACCAGGCAGAUGCUUGUCAUACAUGCAUCACACACAUUGUCCUUUAUGGUAUUUGCUAUAAGAUGCUGUUGUCUCACACUCCUUGGAUCCUGUCUAGUGAGAGGUGGGGCAAGGUCCUCUCUGGAAAGCAAGAAUGGGUGCAGGUGGAGACCUCUUGUUCAGGCCAAGUGGUUAUUGCAUACUUGUGUCCACAUUUUCUGAGCUACCACAAAUCACACACUUACUUCUUGAGCUCCCACAUACUACAGACCACAUGGCUUUGGCUCCAUGUAAGUGUGGCCUCCUAAGUGGGUUAACCCUUGGAGGAAGUCUUUACAGCUUUCUUAUAAUUCAAACACUGUGCCUAUUGUGGAAGGCAUUGCUGAGCCUCAAUAAAAGAGUUUCAGCAUGCACCACAUCUCUCUGUCUUUAGAAAAUUACAGGGUUUACUUUUCCUACUGAAUAUAUAAUUGCAUAUGAUUUAUCUGAGGAAGUACUGUUUCCUCUCCUUCAUAGUAUGUCUAUUGUAUUUUUGAAUGUGAGGAAAAUCUAACAAAAUACUUUCUCAAGGAGGGUUAAAAGGAUAAAAUAACACACCGUUGGUGGAUUCUUACUUGGAGUGGGUGGAGGAGGACUUCCAGGUUACUAAUAGCCAAGCAGAGUCUUCUUGGUUUAGCAAACAUACUGAAAAUGGUAGAAACAUCUGUAGCAUGAUAUCAUCAAUAUAUUUAAUUGUGGUCAAAUCAGAGUUAAUAAAGAGGACUUAUUGCUUACAUGAGCAAUUGCUUACAUGUAUAGUACAGUGGUACCUCGGGUUAAGUACUUAAUUCGUUCUGAAGGUCUGUUCUUAACCUGAAGCACCACUUCAGCUAAUGGGGCCUCCUGCUGCUGCCGCACCGCCGGAACACAAUUUCUGUUCUCAUCCUGAAGCAAAGUUCUUAACCUGAAGCACUAUUUCUGGGUUAGCGGAGUCUGUAACCUGAAGAGUAUGUAACCCGAGAUACCACUGUAUAAGCUGAACCAGAAAUAGUCUGGGCUACUGGUUUGUUUAGGCUUUAAGGCAAGGAUGGGGAACUUGUGGUCCUUCAGAUGUUCCUGGAUCACAAGUCCCAUCAUCCCUGCCCAUUGACCAUGCUGGUUGAGGCUGAUGGGAAUCUAGCAUAGGGUGAUAGAAAGCUUCCUUAUACUGAGUCAGACCGUUGGUCCAUUUAGCACAAUUUUAUCUACGUUGACUUGCAGCGACUCUCAAUAAUUUCAGGCGGAGCCCUCUUUCAGCCAUACCUGGAGGUGCUGGGGUUUGAACCGGGACCCUUCUGCAUAAAAAGCAGGUUCUCUGCUGAUGAGCUACUACCCUUCCUCUAACAACAUCUGGAGUGUCACUGUCCCUAAUUUAAAGCCUUUGGCAGGUUAGGAGCUGGAUACUAGAAGGGACCCUUCAAGUAUCCAUGUUAACAUGGCUUAUAAAAGGCAUCCCUUAGGGAGCCAGUCACUGGGACUGCUCAUGAUAAGGUGGCUUCUGGCAGUCGCUGACAAAGACUAGUGUAGAUCUGGCUGUGGGUAGCUCUGGACCAGACUACCACUGUGUCCUUGUUCAACUUCUUUGUUGUUUUGUUUUGCUGUCCAUAUAUAAUCUCUUUUCCUAAAAUGCCGCCUCCUGUCACUUUUUUUU